rnacentral:rRNA from 1 species
CAGCCGCCACGGUAACACGGAGGGUGCAAGCGUUAAUCGGAAUUACUGGGCGUAAAGCGCACGCAGGCGGUCUGUCAAGUCGGAUGUGAAAUCCCCGGGCUCAACCUGGGAACUGCAUCCGAAACUGGCAGGCUAGAGUCUUGUAGAGGGGGGUAGAAUUCCAGGUGUAGCGGUGAAAUGCGUAGAGAUCUGGAGGAAUACCGGUGGCGAAGGCGGCCCCCUGGACAAAGACUGACGCUCAGGUGCGAAAGCGUGGGGAGCAAACAGGAUUAGAUACCCCAGUAGUCCCUGUCUCUUAUAC